AGACCCGAAACCCGGUGAUCUAGCCAUGGGCAGGUUGAAGGUUGGGUAACACUAACUGGAGGACCGAACCGACUAAUGUUGAAAAAUUAGCGGAUGACCUGUGGCUGGGGGUGAAAGGCCAAUCAAACCGGGAGAUAGCUGGUUCUCCCCGAAAGCUAUUUAGGUAGCGCCUCGUGAAUUCAUCUCCGGGGGUAGAGCACUGUUUCGGCUAGGGGGCCAUCCCGGCUUACCAACCCGAUGCAAACUGCGAAUACCGGAGAAUGUUAUCACGGGAGACACACGGCGGGUGCUAACGUCCGUCGUGAAGAGGGAAACAACCCAGACCGCCAGCUAAGGUCCCAAAGUCAUGGUUAAGUGGGAAACGAUGUGGGAAGGCCCAGACAGCCAGGAUGUUGGCUUAGAAGCAGCCAUCAUUUAAAGAAAGCGUAAUAGCUCACUGGUCGAGUCGGCCUGCGCGGAAGAUGUAACGGGGCUAAACCAUGCACCGAAGCUGCGGCAGCGAACGUAUCACCCAAGACAACUUUGCGGAGUUGACGAUUGACGGAGCGAAGCGACGUCAAAGCGUUCAUUAAAGUCGAGUUGGCUUAGGGAUACGUUCGUUGGGUAGGGGAGCGUUCUGUAA
rnacentral:rRNA from 1 species